rnacentral:rRNA from 1 species
AAUAUUGCGCAAUGGAGGAAACUCUGACGCAGCGACGCCGCGUGAGCGAUGAAGGUUUUCGGAUCGCAAAGCUCUGUUUUUCGGGAAGAAUGUCCUCGGUCUCGACGGUACCCAAGAAGAAAGUCCCGGCUAACUACCUGGCAGCCGCCGCGGUAAAACGUAGGGGGCAAGCUUUGUCCGGAAUUAUUGGGCGUAAAGGGUGCGUAGGCGGACUUUUAAGUCAGAUGUGAAAGCCCACGGCUUAACCGUGGGAUUGCAUUUGAAACGGGAAGGCUUGAGUAUCGGAGAGGGUAGUGGAAUUCCCAGUGUAGCGGUGAAAUGCGUAGAUAUUGGGAGGAACACCAGUGGCGAAGGCGACUACCUGGACGAAAACUGACGCUGAGGCACGAAAGCUAGGGGAGCAAACA